GAAGGGGAUCAGGGCCACCGGCCGAUCGGAUUCGUGCCGUCCCUCGGCAGAGACAAAGGCAGGGGACAGCGCGGCGGCACCCCCCGGGGCCGGCCUCAGGCAUGGUUCCGUGGCCUGGCCACUUGUGUCUGCUCCUGGAUCAUCCUAAUGGGGUUCUUGCAUCAGAAGGGGCAAUACACCUGGAUAAUCCCUGAAAGGGUUGGAGCAUGCCCUGGCAUUCCUUCAAACAAGUAUUCAUUCUAUCAGAAAGUCCAAGAAAAGACUUUACUCCCUUGAGGAUCAAGAAUAAAGCAACUGCUAAGAAAGGACCGGUAGCAGCAUGGAGAAUACAGAAUCAUAUAAAGAGGAAAAUGAGGAGGUGGAGG